rnacentral:siRNA from 1 species
CUCAUGUGCUGAUGUGUCA